rnacentral:rRNA from 1 species
CCUACGGGCGGCAGCAGUGGGGAAUAUUGGGCAAUGGGCGCAAGCCUGACCCAGCAACGCCGCGUGAAGGAAGAAGGCUUUCGGGUUGUAAACUUCUUUUGUCAGGGAAGAGUAGAAGACGGUACCUGACGAAUAAGCCACGGCUAACUACGUGCCAGCAGCCGCGGUAAUACGUAGGUAGCAAGCGUUGUCCGGAUUUACUGGGUGUAAAGGGCGUGUAGCCGGGUUGACACGUCAGAUGUGAAAUCCUGCGGCUUAACCGCAGAACUGCAUUUGAAACUGUUGAUCUUGAGUACUGGAGAGGCAGACGGAAGUCCUAGUGUAGCGGUGAAAUGCGUAGAUAUUAGGAGGAACACCAGUGGCGAAGGCGGUCUGCUGGACAGCAACUGACGGUGAGGCGCGAAAGCGUGGGGAGCAAACAGGAUUAGAUACCCGAGUAGUC